AACGCGAAGAACCUUACCAAGACUUGACAUACAGUAGCAAAGGCUAGAAAUAGUCUCCUCCUUCGGGACUGCUGUACAGGUGGUGCAUGGUUGUCGUCAGCUCGUGUCGUGAGAUGUUCGGUUAAGUCCGGCAACGAGCGCAACCCCUAUUAUAUGUUGCCAAUAUUAAGUUAGGAACUCAUAUAAGACUGCCGUGGAUAACACGGAGGAAGGUGGGGACGACGUCAAAUCAUCAUGCCCCUUACGUCUUGGGCUACACACGUGCUACAAUGGAUGCUACAAAGAGCAGCGAAACAGUAAUGUCAAGCGAAUCUCAUAAAAACAUUCUCAGUUCGGAUUGAGGGCUGCAACUCGCCCUCAUGAAGUCGGAGUUGCUAGUAAUCCCGAAUCAGAACGUCGGGGUGAAUGCGUUCCCGGGUCUUGUACACACCG
rnacentral:rRNA from 1 species